rnacentral:rRNA from 1 species
GAUGAACGCUGGCGGCGUGCCUAAUACAUGCAAGUCGAGCGAACAGACGAGGAGCUUGCUCCUCUGACGUGAGCCGCGCACGGGUGAGUAACACGUGGAUAACCUACCUAUAAUACUGGGAUAACUUCGGGAAACCGGAGCUAAUACGGGAUAAGAUAUUGAACCGCAGGGUGCAAUAGAGAAAUACGGCGUUGCUGUCACUUAUAGAUGGAUCUCCGCCGCAUUAGCUAGUUGGUCAGGUAACGGCUUACCAAGGCAACGAUGCGUAGCCGAACUGAGAGAGUGAUAGGCGACCCUAGAACUGAGACACGGUCCAGACUCCUACGGGAGGCAGCAGUAGGGAAUCUUACGCAAUGGGCGAGAGCCUGACGGAGCAACGCCGCGUGAGUGAUGAAGGUCUUCGGAUCGUAAAACUCUGUUAUUAGGGAAGAACAAAUGUGUAAGUAAAUAUGCACGUCUUGACGGUACCUAAUCAGAAAGCCCCGGCUAACUACGUG